GACGAACCGUGCGAACGUUGUUCGGAAUCACUGGGCUUAAAGGGCGUGUAGGCGGGCUGCCAAGUCUGGGGUGAAAUCCCGCGGCUCAACCGUGGAACUGCCUCAGAUACUGGCGGCCUCGAGGGAGGUAGGGGCGAGCGGAACUAAUGGUGGAGCGGUGAAAUGCGUUGAUAUCAUUAGGAACUCCGGUGGCGAAGGCGGCUCGCUGGACCUUUUCUGACGCUGAGGCGCGAAAGCUAGGGGAGCAAACGGG
rnacentral:rRNA from 1 species